CACUUGGAAGAUGAGUAAAUUAUUUUUCCACUCAUAUAUCGGUGAAAUAAUUUUUUUAUUUUAUUUCUAAAAUAUCACUAAUCUUAUAAUAAUAAUAAUAUAUAAUAUUAUAUUAUUUUAUGAUUUAGUAAUAUAAUAUAUAAUAUAAUGAAUAUAAUAUGAUAUUAUUAUAUAAUAAUAAUAUUUAUAUAAUAUAGGUUAUUAUAGAAAAUAUGGAUAUAUUUUACUUACUCGAAAAAUAAUAAUGCAAAAGAAUAUAGAUAAUAGUUGAC
rnacentral:lncRNA from 1 species